rnacentral:tRNA from 1 species
GUGGGGUUGUGGCUCAGCGGUAGAGCACUUGCCUAGUGUGUGUGAGGCCUUGGGUUCAAUCCUCAGCACCACA